UACGUAGGGUGCAAGCGUUAAUCGGAAUUACUGGGCGUAAAGCGUGCGCAGGCGGUUGUGCAAGACAGAUGUGAAAUCCCCGGGCUCAACCUGGGAAUUGCAUUUGUGACUGCACGGCUAGAGUGUGUCAGAGGGGGGUAGAAUUCCACGUGUAGCAGUGAAAUGCGUAGAGAUGUGGAGGAAUACCGAUGGCGAAGGCAGCCCCCUGGGAUAACACUGACGCUGAGGUGCGAAAGCGUGGGGAGCAAACAGG
rnacentral:rRNA from 1 species